rnacentral:rRNA from 1 species
UGACGAGCGGCGGACGGGUGAGUAAUGUCUGGGAAACUGCCUGAUGGAGGGGGAUAACUACUGGAAACGGUAGCUAAUACCGCAUAACGUCUUCGGACCAAAGAGGGGGACCUUCGGGCCUCUUGCCAUCAGAUGUGCCCAGAUGGGAUUAGCUAGUAGGUGGGGUAAUGGCUCACCUAGGCGACGAUCCCUAGCUGGUCUGAGAGGAUGACCAGCCACACUGGAACUGAGACACGGUCCAGACUCCUACGGGAGGCAGCAGUGGGGAAUAUUGCACAAUGGGCGCAAGCCUGAUGCAGCCAUGCCGCGUGUAUGAAGAAGGCCUUCGGGUUGUAAAGUACUUUCAGCGAGGAGGAAGGCAUUGUGGUUAAUAACCACAGUGAUUGACGUUACUCGCAGAAGAAGCACCGGCUAACUCCGUGCCAGCAGCCGCGGUAAUACGGAGGGUGCAAGCGUUAAUCGGAAUUACUGGGCGUAAAGCGCACGCAGGCGGUCUGUCAAGUCGGAUGUGAAAUCCCCGGGCUCAACCUGGGAACUGCAUUCGAAACUGGCAGGCUAGAGUCUUGUAGAGGGGGGUAGAAUUCCAGGUGUAGCGGUGAAAUGCGUAGAGAUCUGGAGGAAUACCGGUGGCGAAGGCGGCCCCCUGGACAAAGACUGACGCUCAGG